rnacentral:piRNA from 1 species
UGCUUUCUUAUGGAACUUAGUGUGCAAAAU